rnacentral:lncRNA from 1 species
CAGCUCCUGUCUCCCACUGUUCAAAUGUUGCCAUGGUGACCAAUUUUUGUCAUGUAUAUUCCCAGAUCCCGAGCGGCCUCCUUAUUCAUAGCACUUUGCCAUCACUACAGCGACCGCUAGCUGCUGUCUUAUUAUCUAAUCUCCCCUUAGUAAUACAUAUCACCUUUAAACUACCUGGGUGAAUUCUUGAAACCUGAGUAUAAAUGAUAUGUUACAGAAACCGGAAAAUAAAUUCACAUUAGAUAACGUUAUAAUGAUAAUAACAAAUAAAUAAGACUCCUUAAGCCGGCCAUAAGCAGGGGCUUUGUGAAUUCACUCCCUUACCAUUGCCUGGCUAUGUCACCAUCCAUGUCACUGGAGGACCCAUCUGAUUCUUUUACGACGAAUGGAAUAACAAGAUUGCAGAACUGUUGAGCUGAAUUUGAUCAACCGUGUUGCAAUUCAUCUGACUGUUGAGCUUUUUGCUGUUAGGACAGCUGAAACACACAAAUUAUCAGCAUAUUGGAAGAAGAAGCCGAGAGGUGCAGAGAGAGUCUGAUUUAUCCACAUGCCUAAAAAGACAAGGUCGUCUGGCUAAACCAAAUGUCACCCCUUUUUCCUUUUUAAAUAUUGUAGGCUGACUGUCUUUUGAGUAAAAACACAACCUUAAAAAGAAUCACAAGAAACCAGAUCAAAGACAUAAAUAGAACAAAAUAUGCACAAGAGAUCUCCUCCAAGAUCAAAGAUGUGAACGGAAUUGCCAUGAAUAAGAAGUGUAGAGCUCACCAGAACAGAAUGUCUUCGGCAUACAUAGAAUUCUACCAAAAAGAGAAAAUAGAAGAAGAAGAAGAAGAAGAAGAAGAAGAAGAAGGAGGAGAAGAAGAAGAGGAGGAGGAGGGGAAGGGAGAAAAAAAGUCUCUGGGAAAUCAGGCCCUCUGCAAAGCAAGGUCUGACGCCCAGAAAUGGCUUGGCAGCUUUACAGACAACACUUCCACACUUUUCCAUGCGUGGGAACUUUUGGGACAUGAUACGUGAUUGCCUUGGAAAUUAUUUGAUGUUGACGAAUUAGGUCCUUUCCAAAAAAGAGAAGCGAUUUUCAGCCACCUUGAGACGCCAUUUUCUCCUGUUACACAAAGGUAGACUUCUGGCGAUCUUCUCAGAAAGCUCAACUAGUUUUCUUGAAUGAGGGACUCGCUAUGGUGGGGAUUCCCGAAAAAAAUAAUACGCUCUUUUCUAGUCUUUUUGACCCACAGAGUCCUGCUAGUUCAAGUCAGAAUUCUAGAUGAUUUGAAGUUGAUAAAGGAGGCUUAGAGCUUAUCUGUGCAGCCAUCCCAUUAGAAUGCAGCACCUUCUUGUAGAUGUUUCGUACUUCGGUGAAGGAAAUGGC